UACAGAGGGUGCAAGCGUUAAUCGGAAUUACUGGGCGUAAAGCGUGCGUAGUCGGCCAUUCAAGUCGGGUGUGAAAGCCCCGGGCUCAACCUGGGAAUUGCAUUCGAUACUGUGUGGCUAGAGUUCGGCAGAGGGAAGUGGAAUUUCUGGUGUAGCGGUGAAAAGCGUAGAUAUCAGAAGGAACAUCAGUGGCGAAAGCGACUUCCUGGACCAGAACUGACGAUCAGGCACGAAAGCGUGGGGAGCAAACAGG
rnacentral:rRNA from 1 species